GGGAUGUCAGGCAAAGGGCAGGGUGGGCAAAGAUGCCAUCACACUCAGGUCCCAAACUGAGGUCAGCAGCAGCUCAAAUYAAACGUGUCUUAAACUAACACGAGUCCCCUUUAGAAAAGCGGACAACUUCUACCGAGAUCAAAGCUAUCCCUGCCCACAUACAUAUUUACAGCACUUCUCCUGCUGAGGCUCCUCCAGUUGCCGACCUGCAGUAUAAAYGAGUCUCCCUAACGAUAAUUAAAGCCAUUUUAACACAAAUGGCAUCCCCACCAAGCGACUGGGUUACCUUGCAAACAGCAAACGGUCCCACCUAAYGAACUGACUCACUACACCACAAACCCGCGUUUCAGUUUAAUAAGGCUUUGCCYGACUUGUCUUUUGUUCUUCCUCCGAGCACGGAUGCGAGUUCGGAUUGUUAAGCGCGAGACAGCAAGGGCGCUACGCUUGCUCCCAGAGCUAGAGGGAGAAACGCCUGGUAUAUACGCUCAGAUUUGGAAACCUGAAGGGAUUUGAGGCAAGAGAUGUCGUUCCGGAGAGUUUUAGGCUGCACCUUGCUGAAGAUAAUCCUCCGGAGCAAGACCUACGCGUGGCAGCGAGCCCUGCAGCAACACUAGUGCGUUCAAGGCUCCGACGCAGCCCAGCUGUGACCAAAAAAAAGCCAUUUUUACACCACUGCCAGCAGAACAGCGGAUGGUAUAAAGUCACACCUCCAGCCAYGCUGGGCUGAUAAAACACCAGGCUCACAACGCUAUUAAUUUAACGCAAUGCUUGCAGGACAACGAGAAAGGAAUUACACCGGGAGAAGAGCACGAAUGAGUCGAGAGGUGAAUCCAAAGUUACCCAGAGCACCGGGAAACCCCCCUGAGACCCGGUUUGGUCCUUAAAUAGGGAAAACCUGUCGGUCUCGUUAGCAGCCGUAGCAUAACGCGAUGCGGGGCUGGAAGGGAAAGGCAGGUGCCGAAAGACGGGAGGCUCCAGGGCAGAAGCAGCCGGCGGCGGAGGGGGCUGGCGGCAGCAGGCCGUAACRGGAGGCAUUUAAUACUGGAUUCACUCCCAGCGGAUCUCACCCCAGCGAUUUUUYGCUUUUCAAAGCUUCGGCUAAUACGUCGGCUUGAUAACUAUCCCAGAUACAAAAGAGGGAAACCCAAUAAAAGAAUUUUUCUUCUGGGAAAUCCACGCCGAAGGUUCGAGCACAAGUUACCCCUCCUGUCCCUUAGGGAGAGCAGUUUCAGACACCGAAAGACCCAGCUGCAAAGCGAUACGAAUGAGGAURGCACCAAGACGCAGCAACAGGCCCUCAAAUUUCCGCUGAACGCACGGAUAAACCCGCGUCCGUCUGCCUCUCGGCCAGCCCGGCUGAAGCCUGAGUUCGAUUCCUCCUGGCUUUGCUGCGAUUUGGAGCACCUGGGCAGGAACAGCCUUUUUUUUUCCCCUGUCCUUCCUUUUGUUUCCCGCUGCCGUUAGCGUGCUCCGAGCGCCGCGUGGAUCAGUUGAUGCCACGCGGUUUUUAAGCCGAGAGGAUUUCGGUUAACGUCCUGGUGGAGCUGGGACACCUCGGAUAAUGCCACUGCUUCUGGAUCACGCCUCGGUGCCGGCCUUCUCUCCGAGAGAGCGCAUUAUGCUGAAAGCRGUGACUCGAGCACAGAGUCUGAACAAAAUUUAUCUUCGGUUACGUGUUUUGGGGUUUUUUUAGGACGGUGCCCUUCGCCCACGUGCAGGUGGCCCGGCCGAGAUUUAUGCCCCGUUGAGUCUCACUAGGGUUUACAAAACGGGCUGCGAGAGGCGUCUGAGCGCUGCCCGGGGUAUUAAGGCGUGAAAYGCUAUGGCUCGCGCUAACGGCUCUGUUUCUUUUCCCUGAGGUCGGCGUGCGGCAGGGCCGGUCCCUGAAGUCRCCGUGUUGCUGGCAGCCGCAGCGAUGCAGCCGGGAGGCAUCGGCGGUUUUUGGCUUCUUGUGCCUUUGCUUAGGACGUGUUCAGGACGCAGCAAGUUUCCUUUCAGUCGCGGCACUGAGUUUCUCAGGUAAGGCCGAGGCCAGCUGGAUUGCGGGUGCGUGUCACAUGUCACCAGUAUGUGGGUGCCCCAGGCCACACGUGUCACGUGUUGGCAGCAUGGGGGUGCCCCGGCACGUGCAUGUCCCAUGUCACCACUACAUGGGUGCCCCAGGCCACG
ensembl:lncRNA